UGGUGAAAAAUAUGAAAAAUC
rnacentral:miRNA from 1 species